UGGAACAAGGAGCUAGUUAUACAAAUAUUUGCCACGCUGCUUCAAAAGUAAAUAUCCGGUACCAAAUACAAACGUCAGUAGCUAAUGAGGAACUGAUUUCGGAAGAAGCCCCUGGCUGCAGUGUGCAGUUCAGGGCUGGGCUCAAUGUGUGCGGAGUCAAACGUCAGGCUGGGCUCAAUGUGGGUGGAGUCAAACGCGUUUAACUCUAACCCUUCCCGCCUCCUUCAAGAUUACACAAAUUGAGGUCAACGAAAGCGAAUCUUAAUCGAACCUAACCUACAUGGAUAAAAAUACAAACCAAGGAAAAACAUUGCUCUGAUCUUGUCCCCUGGACCUUGGAGGACUUUUGGUGUGGAUGAUCAGGGCCUACCAAAGCAAGGUUUCUCAAACAACUGUGGGGUGUUUGUUUUGAUGUAUGCUCUGUACAUUGCAAUGGAAGUACAGUGUGAUUUCACCGAGGAAAACAUGCAGUAAAUAAGUCUGGUGGUGCCUAGUUCUCCUGCAGAACUUUCCCAUGCCGUCUGAAGAAGAGAGGUUGAAAGAUGGAAAAAGGCGGCGAAAACAAAACACACUACAGGAUGAUAUAGAAGACGCCACCUCAAGAAGUCACAGCAUGUCACAUCAGCAUCCAGCUCUGCAGGAUCAGACGAUACUGAAAACAAAAUGCACGGCGAACUGGGAGCUGUGAACUGGGAAGCAGAUGUUCUUCUAAGGGACACUCUAGAGGCAGCAAGGUGGUGCGAACGCCAAACAUUUAAAGGAACCGUUUCCCUCUCUAGUGUAAUUGGGAUGGACGGGGUAGACCGCAUUACAACCCUUAAAGAACAACGGUUGUAUGAUGGCCUGGAUGAAGAAAAAAAUAUUCUCCUCAAGGAACCAUUCCUGUUACAGAGAUUAUGAGAUGUUCUAUGUGGAGGCAGUUGACAACAGGAAAAUGACUGUCUUUGCCUCUUGAGGAGCAGGAGUGAAGCCAUUUUUGAGGAGUGGUCAAACCUUGUUUUUGUCUGCUGUGUUAAUUGUGUUAUGUUGUUUAGUAAAGAUGACGUAG